UACGUAGGGGGCAAGCGUUGUCCGGAAUCAUUGGGCGUAAAGCGCGUGUAGGCGGCUCGAUAAGUCUGCUGUGAAAGUCCAGGGCUCAACCCUGGGAUGCCGGUGGAUACUGUCGGGCUCGAGUCCGGAAGAGGCGAGUGGAAUUCCUGGUGUAGCGGUGAAAUGCGCAGAUAUCGGGAAGAACACCGGUGGCGAAGGCGGCUCACUGGCCCGUAACUGACGCUCAUGCACGACAGCGUGGGGAUCAAACAGG
rnacentral:rRNA from 1 species